rnacentral:rRNA from 1 species
CCUACGGGAGGCAGCAGUGGGGAAUUUUGGACAAUGGGCGCAAGCCUGAUCCAGCAAUGCCGCGUGCAGGAUGAAGGCCUUCGGGUUGUAAACUGCUUUUGUACGGAACGAAAAAGUCUGCCCUAAUACGGUGGGCCCAUGACGGUACCGUAAGAAUAAGCACCGGCUAACUACGUGCCAGCAGCCGCGGUAAUACGUAGGGUGCGAGCGUUAAUCGGAAUUACUGGGCGUAAAGCGUGCGCAGGCGGUUAUAUAAGACAGAUGUGAAAUCCCCGGGCUCAACCUGGGACCUGCAUUUGUGACUGUAUAGCUAGAGUACGGUAGAGGGGGAUGGAAUUCCGCGUGUAGCAGUGAAAUGCGUAGAUAUGCGGAGGAACACCGAUGGCGAAGGCAAUCCCCUGGACCUGUACUGACGCUCAUGCACGAAAGCGUGGGGAGCAAACAGGAUUAGAUACCCUGGUAGUCCACGCCCUAAACGAUGUCAACUGGUUGUUGGGUCUUCACUGACUCAGUAACGAAGCUAACGCGUGAAGUUGACCGCCUGGGGAAGUACGGCCGCAAGGUUGAAACUUCAAAGAGAGUUGCGNGNGAGNGCGACGAGCACAGGAGGAGAGG